UUUCUCUUAAUUACAGCAUUAUAUCCAAUGGAUUAAUUUCACAUUAAUAGGCGAAUUAUUAAAGGGCAACAUCCAAACGGUAAUCCAAUAACAAAUUUAAAAAAGCAACUACUAUUAUACUAAAAGAAUAGACUUUUAUUAAGCAUUGUAAGUUGCAUUGCCUUCAAAUACACCACAUCACAAUCCAUCAACAUUCAAGCCAACCCGACAGUUCAUUCUUAAAACAAACUCAAGGAGAGUAGUAUAAACCUCAAAUCAACGUACAUAAAAGGUGACUUAUGCAGCUCUGGGCGGGGCCGGGGAGUGUGUACAUCAUAUUUAUGAUCAUAAGUAACAUGAGAAAAGCUCAGGGUAGUUGAAAUCUAAAUUCACUAGUUAAGAAGAAUGACUGAAAAAAGAAGAAAAACAAAUCUUAAAAUUGAUAAACUGCUAAACUCUUUUUGGGAAGGUCAAGCAACUUAUUCCAGCUACAUUAAAAGGGGUGACAUUUGUAUUAUUGUUAAUAUAUAUAUUUUUUACCAGAUAUCCGACAAACGCAUCAAACAGCAAAAGAGAACAUGUAUACUAUGGGUACGAUUGGGUAGAUAAGAUUCUUGCGUUCUUUAGUUAAUUAAAUGCAACAGAGACCAAUACCACAAACGAAAAUAAGACCCCAUCGUCAACAGACCCAACAGGAACCAUGCAACGGUUUGGAGAGACGCAACACGACGCACGACGCUCCAGCACAGCCACGACCGGUCCGCUCGCUCCCGUACCGGGAUCUGAGCGAUUGGUGCUGAAUACUAUCUCUUUCCCCCCCCCCUGCUGUUGCUUGUAAAUUUGACUUGAAGCUGGAAAUACUAAAAAAAACUCCAUCCGAGCUCCUUUGAUGCAAUGCUGCGCCUUCGAACUCAAACCAGUGUUAAUGGCCUCUGAGGAUGGUUAUUUUUUCUGUUGUAAAUAUUGGAUUUUAAUUUGGCAUCAAGCGGCUACACAGACAACAUGAGACCAGUUCAGAUAACGGAGACAAGGAGCCAAAUACGGAAUAACAAGUGGUUUUAGUUAUCUCAUCCCUAGUGAAAGAAAAAGGUUUUCCUAAACUCAAAAGCUUCUGGAAGCUUCCCCCUAUGCUGAGAAUUAAAAGGAAGUGGUCUCUCGUCAUGAUAGCAUUGCCGCGCAUUAACCUCCGCAGCGGUGGUGGUGAACCGUCCGAACGCCGCCAUAACAAACGCCUGUAAACGAGUUGUGUUCGCUGAGAGGGAAACGCGGAAAGGUCGUCCUGUUUUCCCGUUAGUUUUGUUUUCUGACAAAGGAAUAAAUGUGCAUUAACUGUUAGGCUUCUCUACAUCGUUCUCCGAACACGCGACACAACCGCUCACAUCCGUCACCCUCUCUAGAAAAAUAGGCUUUACUCUUCCGACGCCCGCACCGUUUCCAUGGCGCCGGCCGCGUCGACGGCUAGUGCAACAGGAAGGUAAGGGUUAGCCACGAUGACGCACGACUUGGCGUCGGGACCGCUGAAGGCACUUCCUGGUAGGAUGGUGACCGCCUCGCCGUUCAAGUGCACAGACUUCCUGUCCUCCUCCUCCACGCCGUUCUCCACGCCACCGCUGUGACCUUUGACUUCCACGAGACCCGCCUUCUUCUUCACCUCGUCUGGCUUGCUCUUCUUCCUGGCCUUCCCGUCCAGGGCGGAGACGUGGGGGGGUUUAGGACCCUGGGGAGACGGACCAAAGAGGGCGGGCGGAGGAAUUAAAACUAUGGAAUGUUUACCAAGAGAAAAACGGUUCAGUCUAACGAGGCUGGAGAGUGGGAGGGUUGGUUUUGAAGUACGUUUUAGGACAGAGAGCUCAGCCGGAGGACAAACGUUCAGUGUGACCUUCAGACAAUAAGGAAUUAACUUAAUAAGUAGAGAAACGAAGGGAACUGGUUUGGUGGUAUGCAGCCAGUACACAGUAACUCGACAUAGCAGGAGAGAAGAACUCCUGCAAGGUGCUCAAGAUGAUUCAACAUCUUCAUUACAAG
ensembl:lncRNA